rnacentral:lncRNA from 1 species
AGCUGAGGUGUAGGUCGCGGAUGCUACUUGCAUCCCCUGUUGCUGUGGCUGUGGUGUAGUCUGGCAGCUACAGCUCCGAUUAGACCCCUCGCCUAGGAACCUCCAUAUGCAGCAAGUGUGGCCCUAAAAAGACCAAAAAAAAGGAACCAUGCCGCACGAUGUGAACUGUGGCACAUGGGCCACAGCUAAUUGGACCAGGGGUGAGCACCUGAUCCAAGAGCUGCCUCCCUAUUGGUUGGGCCAACUAUCCUAUGAGAUAGCUUAGCUCAAGAGCUUGUGCUGUAUGAACCAAUCAAAUUCCUCUGCUUAGGGAGUUUGGCUGGAAUGGAGUGGGAGCUGGGAGUCUGUCAGAGAAGCAGAAUGACACAGAAAGAAAACCAAGGACAGAGAGAGAAAUUGGUCCUUCAGUGGUGGCAGAGCGGAGUCGGACCCAUGAGCACCUACUGGGGUGACUACUUGAUCAAUAUCCGCCCCAGGGUUUGGGAGCCUCUGUCUACAGCCCCUCACCUGGUGAGCACAGCUCAGCCGCCAACACCACAGCCAACACCAUAGCCAGCACCACAGUCUCAGCCGUGUCGACACCUUUCAACAGCAAGCAUUCAGACGAUGUCUCUCAACUCAACCUCAAUCACAACUAGCAGAUCUUCACUUCAGAGUUCAACAGAGCCCAAGGGCAGCAUGCCCACAUCAUUUAGCGCCUCAGGGGUGACGUCAGCCCAGCAAAACACAAGUCCAGCAGCCAGUACCAAAACUGAAAAACCAACCUCAGGCAGCUCUCCUACAGUUGGCUCAGAGGAUUUGAAAUCCACAGCACUCACCGUCUCGACAAAGCCUGAAAUCACAAGCGGUCAGAGUGAAAUUACUAAAGUUACAGCCAGCGUGGUCUCUACGGAAGGACAUCAGACAACCACUUCACCUAUAAAUCUGAAUAAUACCUCAAAGACCAGUCCUGCUUCUACUCCUGUUCCCGCCCUAGCAAGCAUUUCCCAGCCUGGCACGGUCCCUGGGACUCCUCCUGUUCCUGUGACUUUGGUCCCCAUGACUCCAGAGCCCCCAGGGAGCUCCUCCCAGGGAUCAAACAGAAAUAUUGCAACCACAAGUGUCAGCACACCAGCCACCUUCACAACUCAGGAGAUGCUGAUUACAAUAACGCCACCGGUUACCUCAGGAGGAACCCAGCGUAUCCCCAGCGAGCCGCCGGUGCUCCCUGACACCCUACGGCUCCUCAGCCCACAGGCUCUGCCUCAGGACCCAGGACCGCACCUCCCGCCCGGGGCCCCACGCGUUCCAGCCCUCGGCUGGUGUCGGCAGCCUCUCCCACCGCCAGCCUCCCUCCUCCCGCCUCAGCAAGCGGGGUAGAGAUACAGUGCGGUGCUCCUGAAAGGCUGAGUGAGGAGACGUUCGUCCUGAACUUCUCCAAAGCCGACCUCUGU